AGCCAUCCUUUAAAGAAAGCGUAACAGCUCACUCAUCAAGCGACCCUGCGCCGAAAAUGUAACGGGGCUAAAGCUAUAUACCGAAAUCGUGGACUCCAUUGGAGUGGUAGCGGAGCGUUCCGUAAGCCUGUGAAGGUGUCCUGUGAGGGAUGCUGGAGGUAUCGGAAGUGAGAAUGCUGACAUGAGUAGCGAUAAAGAGGGUGAGAGACCCUCUCGCCGAAAGUCCAAGGGUUCCUGCGUAAAGCUAAUCUGCGCAGGGUUAGCCGGCCCCUAAGGCGAGGCCGAAAGGCGUAGUCGAUGGGAACACAGUUAAUAUUCUGUGGCCUGGGAGUGUGUGACGGAUUUCGAAAGUUGUUUUCCCUUAUUGGAUUGGGAAGGCGGCCUGGAAGUCCCUGGAAAUAGCCCUCCCGCAAGACCGUACCCUAAACCGACACAGGUGGACUGGCAGAGCAUGCCAAGGCGCUUGAGAGAACGAUGCUGAAGGAACUCGGCAAAUUACCUCCGUAACUUCGGGAGAAGGAGGCCUC
rnacentral:rRNA from 1 species